UGAGUACGAGCGGCUACGGCCGCGAAGUGGAUGAUGUCAAGCUUCCAAGAAAAGCCCUAUACCCGUUAAGGCAUGAUGGCCUGUACCCGAAACCGACACAGGUGGGGUGGUAGAGAAUACCGAGGGGCGCGAGGUAGCUCUCUCUAAGGAACUCGGCAAAAUGGCCCCGUAACUUCGGGAGAAGGGGUGCCACCGCGAGGUGGUCGCAGUGAAGAGGCCCAGGCGACUGUUUACCAAAAACACAGGUCUCCGCUAAGUCGCAAGACGAUGUAUGGGGGCUGACGCCUGCCCAGUGCCGGAAGGUUAAGGAAGCUGGUCAGCGCAAGCGAAGCUGGCGACUGAAGCCCCGGUGAACGGCGGCCGUAACGAUAACGGUCCUAAGGUAGCGAAAUUCCUUGUCGGGUAAGUUCCGACCCGCACGAAAGGCGUAACGAUCUGGGCGCUGUCUCGGAGAGAGGCUCGGCGAAAUAGAAUUGUCUGUGAAGAUGCGGACUACGUGCACCCGGACAGAAAGACCCUAUGAAGCUUUACUGUAGCUUGGUAUUGUGCUCGGGCUCGGAAUGCGCAGGAUAGGUGGGAGGCUUUGAUCCAUUGCUUGCGGGUGAUGGUGAGCCACUGGUGAGAUACCACUCUUUCCGAGCUAGAGUUCUAACAGCAACCCGUUAUCCGGGUGCUGGACAGUAUCAGGUGGGCAGUUUGACUGGGGCGGUCGCCUCCUAAAAGGUAACGGAGGCGCGCAAAGGUCUGCUCAGGCUGGUUGGAAAUCAGCCGACGAGUGUAAAAGCAGAAGCAGGCUUGACUGUGAGACCUACAAGUCGAACAGGGAGGAAACUCGGCUUUAGUGAUCCGACGGUUCUGCGUGGAAGGGCCGUCGCUCAACGGAUAAAAGUUACUCUAAGGAUAACAGGCUGAUCUCCCCCAAGAGUUCACAUCGACGGGGAGGUUUGGCACCUCGAUGUCGGCUCAUCGCAACCUGGGGCUGAAGUCGGUCCCAAGGGUUGGGCUGUUCGCCCAUUAAAGCGGUACGCGAGCUGGGUUCAGAACGUCGUGAGACAGUUCGGUCCAUAUCCGGUGCACGCGCAGGAAUAUUGAGAGGAUUUCUCCCUAGUACGAGAGGACCGGGAGGAACGCACCUCUGGUGUGCCAGUUAUCGUGCCAACGGUAAACGCUGGGUAGCCAUGUGCGGAGUGGAUAACCGCUGAAAGCAUCUAAGUGGGAAGCCCACCUCAAGAUGAGUAUUCCCAUGGGGUAACCCAGUAAGGUCACGGGAAGAACACCCGUUGAUAGGCUCUACGUGGAAGCGCAGUAAUGUGUGAAGCGGAGGAGUACUAAUAGACC
rnacentral:rRNA from 1 species